CCUACGGGAGGCAGCAGUGAGGAAUAUUGGUCAAUGGACGAGAGUCUGAACCAGCCAAGUAGCGUGAAGGAUGACUGCCCUAUGGGUUGUAAACUUCUUUUAUAUGGGAAUAAAAUGUUCCACGUGUGGGAUUUUGUAUGUACCAUAUGAAUAAGGAUCGGCUAACUCCGUGCCAGCAGCCGCGGUAAUACGGAGGAUCCGAGCGUUAUCCGGAUUUCUUGGGUUUAAAGGGAGCGUAGGUGGAUUGUUAAGUCAGUUGUGAAAGUUUGCGGCUCAACCGUACAAUUGCAGUUGAAACUGGCAGUCUUGAGUACAGUAGAGGUGGGCGGAAUUCGUGGUGUAGCGGUGAAAUGCUUAGAUAUCACGAAGAACUCCGAUUGCGAAGGCAGCUCACUGGACUGCAACUGACACUGAGGCUCGAAAGUGUGGGUAUCAAACAGGAUUAGAUACCCCGGUAGUC
rnacentral:rRNA from 1 species